UACGUAGGGGGCGAGCGUUAUCCGGAUUUACUGGGUGUAAAGGGCGCGCAGGCGGCGUGGCAAGUCAGAUGUGAAAACCCGGGGCCCAACCCCGGGACUGCAUUUGAAACUGCCAUGCUGGAGUGCUGGAGAGGCAAGUGGAAUUCCUAGUGUAGCGGUGAAAUGCGUAGAUAUUAGGAGGAACACCAGUGGCGAAGGCGGCUUGCUGGACAGUAACUGACGCUGAGGCUCGAAAGCGUGGGGAGCAAACAGG
rnacentral:rRNA from 1 species